GGGCCUGUAGCUCAGCUGGGAGAGCGCCACAUUCGCAUUGUGGAGGUCGUGGGUUCGACUCCCAUCAGGUCCAGCA
rnacentral:tRNA from 1 species